rnacentral:rRNA from 1 species
CAGGCUGCAACCCGCCUGCACGAAGUUGGAAUUGCUAGUAAUCGCGGAUCAGCAUGCCGCGGUGAAUACGUUCCCGGGUCUUGUACACACCGCCCGUCACACCAUGGGAGCCGGUAAUACCCGAAGUCAGUAGUUUAACCCUUGUGGAGGACGCUGCCGAAGGUAGGAUUGGCGACUGGGGUGAAGUCGUAACAAGGUACC